UUGGGGAGCGGCAAAACGAAAACGCGCGCCAGGUUCGUUGGCUGGCGUACGAGAGCCAGGUGCCCGUCUUACACUCGAAGAUUUACGCUCCCGAACAAGAGCCGCACCCAAACGAAAUCGUCGGCAAGGUUGGUACAACUUGUCGGCCGAGGUUGGCAAGCGUGAGCGUGAAAACGUAAACAAACCCACGUGAGAGCUCCAGUGUGACCGCGGGCUGUUCAAGUAAUUAUGGAUGCGCUAAGUACUCCCAGAGAAAAAUCCUCUUCCCUGAGCCAUGAGCAAAAGAGAACUUUAGUAAACUUGAUUGCAGUCAACAAAGUGGUUCUGGAUAAGAGUGGCCAGUACUAUUUGAUUAGUAAAAAGAGGGAGGCAUGGGAGAAAAUAGCUGAAAACUACAAUGCAGCUCAUCCCAUCGCAGAGAUGAAGACGUCCCAGCAGCUGAAGAGGGCCUGGGAAUACCUCAGAAAUAGAGUCAAGAGUGACUUUGCAACAUACUCAAAGAAGAAGAGACAGACUGGUGGAGGUCCUCCCCCAACACCCCCGAAGUAUGAUCCUCUACUGGAGGCUGUGUCGUCGCUGGUGAAAAAUGAAUUGCUGUUCUCCGAGUAUCAGUACGACAACACCUGCACCGAGGUACCAACUCCUCCACCUUCAUCUGCUGCAUCACCAUAUCCUGACGCAUGUGGUUCUUUGCAGGAAGGAGACCAUGAGUCGAUUGCUGAGGAUCCCACCCCUAUCCCCUCAGCUGAAGCAGCAGCGAAUCCUGAUUCAUCUACCAUACGUGCACUGCAGGAUGAUCCCGCAGCAACUUUCCCCUCAUCAUCUACAAAUUCUACAUGGGAUAGUAAGACAGGGAGAGGUAUAAAGAGGAAGAGAUUUGGUACAAAGAAAGAAAGUAAUUUAAACAGUCUAAGACAAAGCCAAGAACUUCUUAAUAAAAAGGCUCUAGAGUUGAUGCAGUCAAAAUAUGAAAAAGAGAUACAAAGCCUAGCAGCCAUAGAAAGAAUGUGUAACACUGUAAAUGUUUUUUUCUCCCGUCUGUCAAGUAAUUACGAUAAUAUAUUUCCAAAUCACUCUUAAGAUAAUAACAUUUCUGGGCUACUUUUCUCCAGGUAAAAUUAGUGGUACAUGCUAUGGUUGCAUGUGGCCCAAGAUAAUGGGUUCAUACCAAACCUUAUUGUAUUCCCAUUUGAAAAUGGCUGGAGGGGUGUAGGCCAGUGUGGGUCAGCUCUGCCCAACACCCUCAACACCUCUAGCUCCCUUGCAUAUGUUAG